rnacentral:lncRNA from 1 species
GUUUAUGAAAUUAAUUUAAAAAAUGAAGAAAACUUGUGUGUGUGUCUUUGCCUGCAUGCACAAAUUCAACAUACUUUCUGUCCUUUUCAGGAUUGUUUCGCUGCCAAUCUUGAUUGGGAGAUAUAUGAUCUGACCACAACCUGUGAAAACUACACACAGCCUGUGGCACAUCUACGAGGCUUCAACCCACCCAGGAGGACGGUGAAACUGCCCCCUCCAGAGGAGCCCACCAUUGAGAAUGCCACUAUCUCCUGGAGGCAUGGACGCUAUUCAGGAUUAAUCAAAAUUAUGUCUUCGAACUUCAGUACAGAACCAUACACAGACAUGGAGGUGAGGAACUGAGAUGAAAUAAGGAGAGUUCAAAUUCAAAUCAAUCACAAACUAGUAUCAGGAAGAGUCACUGAAAUGCUCCUUUACUGUUUUCAGAAAGUGAAGGCCAUCCAGUGUAGGCGAUUCCGCUACAAGGAAACCAGCACACGCUGAAAAAAGGGCUGGAGAAAGGCCGGCGGUACUGGGCCCGGGUGCGAGUCUGGCCUGAAGGGUUCUCGGGAAAUUGCGACUGGAGCGACUGGAGCCCCGUUGCAUUCUGGGACUCAGCAAUAGGGGACUCUCCAGGUAGUUCAGUGACCACAAACCACACAGACACUAUAACCACAACGCAGUACAAAAUGGCACCCCCAGACUUCCAGACUUCCAUCGGACAGAGAGAGAGAGAAGGCUGAUCUAAUUGGGUGUGAAUGUGAGUGGACUUAUAAUUUCUCCUGUCUUUUUAGACAAUGAUCCAGCGGUGGAGACGUGGUUGGUCUGGUGGGCUGUGAUUGGUGCUGCGGCUGUGCUCGUCUUCCUGCUCGUGAUCAUGUUCAUGGGGUGAGUAGACCACCGGGGGCAGCGGCGAGUCUUUGGAGUCGGAUGACUGAAUUGGAAAGAUAGGAAAAACAGAUUCAGGGUCUAUUCUAGGUUGUUAUACGUAUCUCUUCGCCCAAUCUUAAAUCGUUUUGUUGUCUUGGUCUCUGUUUCAGUGCUCAAAUGAGGAAGUCUUCACUAAUACCUGAUCCCUCAAAGUUCUUUGACGGUCUUGACUCUGUCCAUAAAGGAAACUUUAAGGUGAGUUCUGGGUGGUAUAGCACUCAGUGCUAACUAUGCUAAACUACUGGAGAUCUGAGGUAAAUUAAGGUGUAUAGAACU